rnacentral:rRNA from 1 species
UACGUAGGGCGCAAGCGUUAUCCGGAAUUAUUGGGCGUAAAGAGCUCGUAGGCGGUUUGUCGCGUCUGCCGUGAAAGUCCGGGGCUCAACUCCGGAUCUGCGGUGGGUACGGGCAGACUAGAGUGAUGUAGGGGGAGACUGGAAUUCCUGGUGUAGCGGUGAAAAUGCGCAGAUAUCAGGAGGAACACCGGUGGCGAAGGCGGGUCUCUGGGCCGAUACUGACGCUGAGGAGCGAAAAGCGUGGGGGAGCGAACAGG